UGUAUCGGAACGUGCCCAGUCGUGGGGGAUAACGUAGUGAAAAUUACGCUAAUACCGCAUACGAUCUAUGGAUGAAAGCGGGGGAUCGCAAGACCUCGCGCGAUUGGAGCGGCCGAUAUCAGAUUAGGUAGUUGGUGGGGUAAAGGCCCACCAAGCCAACGAUCUGUAGCUGGUCUGAGAGGACGACCAGCCACACUGGAACUGAGACACGGUCCAGACUCCUACGGGAGGCAGCAGUGGGGAAUUUUGGACAAUGGGCGCAAGCCUGAUCCAGCCAUUCCGCGUGCAGGAUGAAGGCCCUCGGGUUGUAAACUGCUUUUGUACAGAACGAAAAGGUUUCUACUAAUACUAGGAGCUCAUGACGGUACUGUAAGAAUAAGCACCGGCUAACUACGUGCCAGCAGCCGCGGUAAUACGUAGGGUGCAAGCGUUAAUCGGAAUUACUGGGCGUAAAGCGUGCGCAGGCGGUUAUAUAAGUCAGAUGUGAAAUCCCCGGGCUCAACCUGGGAACUGCAUUUGAGACUGUAUAGCUAGAGUACGGUAGAGGGGGAUGGAAUUCCGCGUGUAGCAGUGAAAUGCGUAGAUAUGCGGAGGAACACCGAUGGCGAAGGCAAUCCCCUGGACCUGUACUGACGCUCAUGCACGAAAGCGUGGGGAGCAAACAGGAUUAGAUACCCUGGUAGUCCACGCCCUAAACGAUGUCAACUGGUUGUUGGGUCUUAACUGACUCAGUAACGAAGCUAACGCGUGAAG
rnacentral:rRNA from 1 species